CAAGGAAUUUUCCCCAAUGGGCUCACGCCUGAGGGAGCAACGUCGCGUGCAGGACGACGGCCUUCGGGUUGUAAACUGCUUUUGGGGGGGAAGAUAGUGACGGUACCCCCUGAAUAAGCCCCGGCUAACUCCGUGCCAGCAGCCGCGGUAAGACGGAGGGGGCAAGCGUUGUCCGGAAUUACUGGGCGUAAAGCGCGCGUAGGUGGUCGUGUGCGUCGGUGCUGAAAGCGCCGGGCUUAACCCGGCGAGGUGUGCCGAUACGACACGACUUGAGGCAGGGAGAGGGUAGCGGAAUUCCGGGUGUAGUGGUGAAAUGCGUAGAGAUCCGGAGGAACGCCAGUGACGAAGGUGGCUACCUGGCCCUGGCCUGACACUGAGGCGCGAUAGCGUGGGGAGCGAACCGG
rnacentral:rRNA from 1 species